GACGAACGCUGGCGGCGUGCUUAACACAUGCAAGUCGAACGGAAAGGCCCUGCUUUUGUGGGGUGCUCGAGUGGCGAACGGGUGAGUAACACGUGAGUAACCUGCCCUUGACUUUGGGAUAACUUCAGGAAACUGGGGCUAAUACCGGAUAGGAGCUCCUGCUGCAUGGUGGGGGUUGGAAAGUUUCGGCGGUUGGGGAUGGACUCGCGGCUUAUCAGCUUGUUGGUGGGGUAGUGGCUUACCAAGGCUUUGACGGGUAGCCGGCCUGAGAGGGUGACCGGGAGCGUCGGGAGAGCGGGACGGGCGAGGGUGAUGUGGGAGGCAGGAGUGGAGAAGGUUGAGAGGGGGGCGGCAGGCGGAGGAGGAGGCGCGGGGUGGGGGAGGGUGGCGUUGGUGUUGUCCGCCGUUGCGGCGUGGGACGGGGGGGGAGGGGGGGUAAUGGGUAACAAAGCACCGGCUAACUACGUGCCAGCGGCCGGGAAAAUAGUGGGAAGAACACAGGGCUGACC
rnacentral:rRNA from 1 species